AUGGAUGCUUCAUCCUCCAACCCCCAAAGUAAUAAUGCCUUCAAGGCUCUCCCAAGUCCUCCUUGGGAUGGUCAGGAAUGCUCCCCCUUUCCCAGAGCAGCCAUUCACCAGAAGUUUGGGAUCUCUCCCACCAGACCUGGGAACAGUGAACUGGGAGAGGGACCAUCGUCCCCAAAGUUCCUGAACCUCCCUGGCCCAGGAUCGGCCUCAAGAGACACUGGCUCCCCCGUCAUCACGGAGAGUGACAUGGACCUCACAGCCGAUUUGUUGCCCUCUGGGAGGAUGCACUCCCAUCCACUCACUCUUCGGACCCCAGUGACUGAGAGCAUCCUUGGCCCUCCUUUGCCUGCUCCCUCACGGCCUGGGAGUCCCACCUCACAGGACCAGGAGAAGGAAGGGGUCGGUUCUGGCACCUUUGGCUCGAAAGCCCUGAGCCUCACAUCCACUUUGCCCUUCAGUCUGGGUACCAGUGGGGCCAUCUUCUUGGAAACACGGAAGCCACUGAAGGGGGACCCUGCACCUGAGAAGCCCUGGGGUCAAGCACAUUCCUGGGCAGGAGCCCCCUGGAGUCUGAGCUCAGACUCCAGACUGGGUCCUGUUCCUACUACUCUGCCCUGGGCUCUGGAUAAACCUUGGACCUUGCCUACUGACUCCUCUGCGUUACACAGGGAGGCACCGGAGCCUCCAUGGGCCUGUCCCUGGCCUGUGGACGUGAUGAUCAGGAAGGACCCAACAGGAGUGAUCCCUGGGGGGCAGGGAGAGCCCUUGGAUCCUGGGGCGGGACCUCAGGGGGAGGGGGCUCCUUGCUCCCCUCUAACCUCCUCACACAAGUGCUAGGGGAAGGCAGGGCACCAGAGCUUUCCUGAAGAGAAGGGAAUGGCUCUGGGGGCCACCUCGGUGCUGUUUUUAUUUGGAAGACGCUGCCCCUCUCCUUCUCAGGCCUGGAUUUAUCCAAGAGCAGAAAUAUUGGCCAUCCCUCCCGCCCCUGGCCCAGGCGAGUAUCGGACAGGAAAGUGGGGUCUGUGUGGGCAUGGCUGGAAGGGCAAAGACACCCGUGAUCCAGGGUCAGGUGGCUUGGGGGGGGGAGGCACCCUUUUCCCAUCCCCUGACUUGGCUGGGGAGCAGGGAAGGGUGGUUGCAUCUCAGGCAAAGGCCAGCAGAGGGAACCCGAGGACCGAAGAAGACACUGGCUUGUGCCUCUGAGCUGGGGUGGCCAGUUACUGCCGGGGGUGGGGUUGACUUUCUCCCUCCUGGCACGAGAAGUGUGCUGGCCCCCCCUCCCCCCUCAGAUUUGCAGUGAGGCCCCCCUCUCCUUCCUGACCCCAAGGAAGAGGCUCAGAUGGAGGAGGAGCUUCUUUCCCAGCCCUGCUUUCCUCCCCCAGGGUGAGGACAGUAAAGAAAGAGGGGAGCUAGAGAUUAUGAAGAGCCACCCAGGCUCUCAGCCUCAGUUUCCCCUUUUGUGUCCCCAUUUCCCGAUGCUCAGGGAUCAAGGUGAGCUUGACCACUGGAACCAGGCCCUUCCCCUUUCUGCCUCUUCCUCUCCUUCAGACAAAACACGUUAACGAUGGGGCACCGGACCUAGGCUAGCUUCAGAAGGUCUAUGAGGAUAAAGAGGGACCAGGAGGGAGAGGGAAGAAAGGGAGAUAGAGGAAAAAGCAACAGAGAUGGGGGUGGGGGAGAGCUGCUUUGGGCUCCUGUCGGGGGUCCCAGCUCCUGCUCUGCCGAUGAGGGCCCCCUGCCCCCUCUCUUCCAGCCAAGGCCAGUGGUCCUGGCCAAUAUCCCUGAAGCUCUCCCGUGCCUGUCACCUUCCCUCUCAGCCCCCCACCCCACCGCAGGU
ensembl:lncRNA